CAACGUAGGUAAUCUACCUUCGGAUGGGGAAUAACAAUCGGAAACGGUUGCUAAUACCGCAUAAUGCAGCGGCACCUAAUGGUGACAGUUGUUAAAGCGGGGGAUCGAAAGACCUCGCGUCUGAAGAGGAGCCUGCGGCGGAUUAGCUAGUUGGUAAGGUAAUGGCUUACCAAGGCAACGAUCCGUAACCGGCCUGAGAGGGCGGUCGGUCACACUGACACUGACAUACGGGUCAG
rnacentral:rRNA from 1 species